AUGCUGAAGGGAUCUUGUCACCCAGUCAUGGAUUCACCAACCAGAAAAACAUCCAGAAGGCAUGACAUUUGGACCCAGCCAUCCAAAUCCACCCUGUGUCUUUUCCUCUCCUCCUUCCCUAAAUGAUUUUCUUGUGCUGUCCACUGUACAACAGGGACAUCAUUUAAAUUCUUCACCCUCCCUUCUUGCUUUUUGGUCCUCUCUUCUUCAGCCUCCCCUCGUAUCUUAUCCUGGCUCCAUCUGGCUUGCGUCCUUCCAUUCCUUCUUUUCACUCUAGCUUGCCAUCCGUUUUGGUCUGCUUGGUCUGCUCUCUGUCCAGCCAUCUCCCCACCCCCUGCAUUAUAUCCUCGUCCCCUACCGUCCACCCUUUUGGCUUGGCCACAUCUCUCCCCAAAUCACCUGCCAGUAUUGCUGCGAACUGGAGAGACAUCCUUUCUGUGGGGAAUCCACAGAGGAGGGUGUAAAGGAGGGAGCAAGCCUCUUUAAUCCGAUCUGGAGAACCAGCAGGGUGGGGAGGGGGGCUGAUUUUCUCCAGCCUCCAGAUUUCAAAAGGGUUGCUUGGUGACUAGCUCCCCCCACCCCAUCCCCAUCUCCCUGCUCUCAUUCCCUGGUCUCUAGUUAGAGAAAUACAUUCCAGAAGCUCGGGUUGUGGGGGUACUGGGAGAGAAGCCUCACUUGUACUGGAAGGUUUAGACAGGGUUGGCUUCCACCUGCCCCUCCUUUGCCCACCCCCUACUCCAGGGUCCUUAUCCUCAUCCCCUCUACUCCUCCCUCACCCCAAGCUCAGCUGCCGCCCCCGCCACAAGACGAAGCGCUGCCGCAUUGGCAGGUUGGGCUGGUUGGCGGUGCGCACGCUGCUCGUCUCUCUUUCUUGCAGGGGGCUGCUGGGGGGUCUCAGCCGAAGAAGUCGCAGCGGGAGCAGGCGGCGGGGUGUUUCAGCACCACGGACAACACGGCGGGAUUUCAGCACCACGGACAGCAUCGCCGUUGGUCCCGGCGUGGGCGAUGGGCGGCUGAGCGAGCCGGUGGUCCAUGAGCGCGAUGCGCCUCUUGCUCCUCGCUGUCCUCGUCUCCUUCUCGUUCGCCCGCGCCGGCUGCGAGCCCAAGAUCGUCAACAUCGGCGCGGUGCUGAGCACCAAGAAACAUGAGCAGGUCUUCCGCGAGGCCAUCAACCAAGCCAACAAGCGCCAUGGCACCUGGAAGAUCCAACUCAACGCCACCUCCGUCACGCAUAAGCCCAACGCCAUCCAGAUGGCACUGUCCGUUUGCGAGGAUCUCAUCUCUAGCCAGGUCUAUGCCAUCUUAGUGAGCCACCCACCAGCUCCAAAUGACCACCUAACGCCAACGCCUGUGUCAUACACAGCCGGCUUUUAUAGGAUUCCUGUUAUCGGUCUGACAACACGCAUGUCCAUAUAUUCAGAUAAGAGCAUCCACUUGUCCUUCCUGCGCACUGUCCCCCCCUAUUCCCACCAGUCCAAUGUCUGGUUUGAAAUGAUGCGCUAUUAUAAGUGGAACCACAUUAUUCUCAUAGUCAGUGAUGAUCACGAGGGGCGGGCUGCGCAAAAGAAGCUGGAGACCCUCUUGGAAGAGAAAGAAUCCAAGAGUAAAAAAAGGAACUAUGAAAACCUCGAACAACUAUCCUAUGACAACAAGCGAGGACCCAAGGCUGAGAAAGUGCUUCAGUUUGAACCCGGAACAAAAAAUGUGACUUCGUUGCUGCUGGAAGCUAAGGAACUGGAGGCCAGGGUUAUUAUCCUCUCUGCAAGUGAGGAUGAUGCUACAACUGUGUACACAUCAGCAGCCAAAGAAAACAUGACUGGCCCAGGCUAUGUGUGGCUGGUAGGGGAAAGGGAGAUCUCAGGCAAUGCCCUGCGUCAUGCGCCAGAAGGGCUCAUUGGUUUGCAGCUCAUGAAUGGGAAGAAUGAAUCUGCUCACAUCAGAGACGCGGUGGCUGUGGUGGCCCAGGCUGUUCAUGACUUGUUUGAGAAAGAGAACAUUACAGACCCACCAAGGGGCUGCGUGGGAAAUACCAACAUCUGGAAGACAGGGCCUCUGUUCAAGAGAGUGUUGAUGCAGACCAAAUAUGCCGAAGGUGUGACUGGCCGGGUAGAGUUCAACGAAGACGGAGACCGGAAAUAUGCCAAUUACAGUGUCAUGAAUUUACAGAACAAUAAACUGGUGCAAGUUGGAGUCUACAAUGGUAGCCACUUCCUGCCCAAUGACCGCAAAAUCAUCUGGCCUGGAGGAGAAACAGAGACACCACAGGGCUACGAAAUGUCUACAAAAUUAAAGAUUGUCACAAUCCACCAAGAGCCCUUUGUCUACGUUAAACCAACCAUGACGGAUGGAAAAUGCAAACCACUGCUCAACAGUACAGGGGGGCUGGUGCAGCAGGUCCUCUGCACUGGGCCUAAUGAGACUAUGCCAGGCCGCCCCAGUGUGAUGCUGUGUUGCUAUGGCUUCUGUAUCGACUUAUUGAUCAAGCUUGCUAAGACAAUGAAUUUUACCUAUGAAGUUCACCUUGUAGGCGAUGGCAAAUUCGGGACACAAGAGCGGGUGAACAACAGCAACAAGAAGGAGUGGAAUGGGAUGAUGGGGGAGCUGCUGAGUGGCCAGGCUGACAUGAUUGUGGCUCCACUGACUAUCAACAACGAGCGAGCACAAUACAUUGAAUUCUCCAAGCCUUUCAAGUACCAGGGACUCACCAUCUUGGUCAAAAAGGAAAUUCCCCGCAGCACACUGGACUCAUUCAUGCAACCAUUCCAGAGCACUCUGUGGCUUUUGGUGGGGCUUUCAGUACAUGUGGUGGCAGUGAUGUUGUAUCUACUUGACCGCUUCAGCCCGUUUGGCCGGUUUAAAGUGAACAGUGAGGAAGAAGAAGAGGAUGCCCUGACUCUCUCUUCUGCCAUGUGGUUCUCUUGGGGAGUCCUCCUGAACUCUGGCAUCGGAGAAGGUGCUCCCCGGAGUUUCUCAGCUCGAAUUCUUGGAAUGGUGUGGGCUGGAUUUGCUAUGAUUAUUGUAGCCUCAUAUACUGCCAACCUGGCUGCCUUCCUGGUGUUGGACAGACCUGAAGAACGAAUCACAGGCAUCAAUGACCCCAGGCUGCGAAACCCCUCAGAUAAAUUCAUAUAUGCCACAGUGAAGCAAAGUUCGGUGGACAUUUACUUCCGCCGUCAGGUAGAGCUGAGCACCAUGUACCGCCACAUGGAGAAACACAACUACGAGAGUGCUGCUGAAGCCAUCCAGGCCGUCAGGGAUAACAAGCUCCACGCGUUCAUCUGGGAUUCGGCUGUGCUAGAAUUUGAAGCCUCGCAGAAGUGUGACCUGGUGACAACGGGGGAACUGUUCUUCCGCUCUGGCUUUGGCAUCGGGAUGCGCAAGGACAGCCCUUGGAAGCAGAAUGUCUCCCUGGCCAUUCUCAACCUCCAUGAGAACGGCUUCAUGGAAGAGCUUGACAAGACUUGGGUGAGGUAUCAGGAGUGUGAUUCCCGAAGCAAUGCCCCAGCAACACUCACCUUUGAGAACAUGGCAGGUGUAUUCAUGCUGGUGGCUGGAGGUAUUGUGGCCGGGAUAUUUUUAAUAUUCAUAGAAAUAGCUUACAAAAGGCAUAAAGACGCCCGGAGGAAGCAGAUGCAACUGGCGUUUGCAGCCGUUAAUGUGUGGAGGAAAAACCUGCAGUCCUCUCUCUCUCUUGUGGCCGUAGGAUUCACCUUCAGAAAAGGCCCCGAGCAUUUUUAUUUAGUGGAUAGAAAAAGUGGUAGAGCAGAACCAGACCCUAAAAAGAAAGCCACUUUUAGGUCCUUCACCUCUACCCUGGCCUCCAGCUUCAAGAGACGUAGGUCCUCCAAAGACACGACAGCCCCGCGAUGUCACCACGCCCAGAAUCCGUGAGCUGCAGAUAAGCCCUGUAGAGAAUCCCCGGCUUCAGGAGCUGCUCAGCACAGGCAGUAUCAUCCCACUGACAUCACUGGGCAGCUCAACCUCUCCGACCCCUCGGUCAGCACCGUGGUGUGACAUCUGGGCGCUGACACCGCCGGUUGUGGCCAGGCAGACACACAAGGGAUAGACCAAUGGAGGCUCUGACGGGUCCUUCCUGGAUACACUGAAGGAAAGCUUUUGCCAUCCAGCCAGUGUGUGCAUUGCUUUCUUCACUUCAUUGUAGAUCCCCUUCUGUUCCUCGGCCAGCUGACUUCCCAGGUUUGGGAUGAACUACAGAACAUGAGGCCUUGGAGUGGCCAAACCCCACUUUGCAUAGCCGGUGGCUUCCAUUUAUUUCUCUUUUUGACAUCAACUGAGACAGAGAAGGUGACUCCACAUAGCACAGCAAGCAUGCCAAGGACGUUAGCACUCAUCGAAGUAGACUUGGGUCCUUUGCAGUGAGGAGAGAGUCUCUUUAUCAUACAUGCAUGUAUGGAACAUCAUACACCUGCCUUAUCCCAUUUUCACACCACGUAAGAGGACAAUGGAGGGGAAUCCGUGUCCCCCAGCACUCACGGGUCCUUGUACAUAGCACACCAUGCAAAGAACAUGCCCAUCGAUAUAUCAAAGCCCUCUCAGAGAGGGAGCCCUCUCUGGCUGUGAUUGGGAUGAUCCUUCCCCCUAUAUGCAUACGUUUUUCAGUUUCUGGCUCCUUAUUGAAAAGGAACUUCUGAUACCUCUCUCUCCACUUCCCUAGAGCGGUAAAGAAAUAUACAAAGGAAAUGUUACAGAAGUGAAGGUGAGCAAUUGGGAUGUUCUCUGCUUCUGUUCGUUGAAAUUUAUGGCCUGGAAAUUCUGCCAGGAAUAGCCUGGAUGUCUUUCUGAGACACAGUUCUGCAAAACAGCAACCUGCCUUGUAUGUGUCCCAAGGGGAGGGAAACCAUAUCCCCCACGCCCUCUGGAAAGUUUUGUUUGUCCUUAGUUGAAGCAACAGGGAGAUAAGUGUUCGUUUUACAAGACUGAUUUCUUUCCUGUCCUUUCCAAGGGCUUGGCUCAAGGUGGGUUGUGGGAUCUUCCCAUCUUAGUUUAGCUUCACAACAGCCAUGUGUGGUCAGUUAUUCAUGCAUUUUAUAUAAGAAAGAAAGAAAGAAAGAAAGAAAGAAAGAAAGAAAGAAAGAAAGAAAGAAAGAAAGAAAGAAAGAAAGAAAGAAAGAAAGAAAGAAAGAAAGAAAGAAAGAAAGAAAGAAAGAAAGAAAGAAAGAAAGAGUUGCAAGGACUUUGCACUCAAGUCUUCCCAGUGAGCUUUUGUGGCUAAUUUGCAUUUUGAAUUGGAGCAUCCCACAUCCAAAAUAACCCUCUGUUGCACUGCAUGAGCUUUUACUGUUCACUCUGCUUCAGGGUUCUGUCACUGCAGGAGGAAAAUCAAGAGGGCAAAGAGUCCUGUCCACUCUAAUUUACCUGUAGCUGUGGAGUGAUUUUAACACCUAAACCAGUAACUCAUUGUUAUCACAACUGGCUUCCUUUGGAAGUGCACAAGCCAACAACAUUGAUUUUUUUUGUAGUUUGCUGGUGUGGACAUCUAAGCUGAAGCAACUGAUUGUAUUUCACACUGUACAGAUUACCAGAAUGUAGCAUUUGAUGCACAGAGCAGGUGGUGAAUUGGGACAAACAAGUUGUUCCUUCUUAUGCAGUGCCUAUACUCUCCCUAGCCUUACCUCCCCCUCAACCUUCUGCAAAUGAAAGCUAUAUGGAGUGGCCUUAUAGCCAGUCACGCCUAUCUCAGACUUGCCACCUAGGAAUAACAGAUGCUCUGCAAGGUCUCAGGCAGACGUCUGUCCCAGAAUCACAGCCUUGCUAUCCAAGAUCCAUUUAAAUGGGACAGUCUAUGUGCAAACCACGUCAGCACAGCAGCCACUUUUAGGGUUUCUACUGUAAAUCCCAAAGGGAGGAAACUGGGAAGUUACAUCAGUGCAUAGCACAUGUGGACACAACUGUCCAGAAACUAGCUUCUCGGUGAGUAGUGUCCUGUCGAAAUGAUUAUGCCAGAAAGAACAGAGUUAAAAUUAUUCUCCCUUCUGGAACAUAUAUUGAUGUCACAGUAUAGCAAUGCUCAGUUCCACUCCUGGGGGGGGAAAUCCUGUUAACAAAAAUUUUGCAGCCUUCAGGACUUGAGGUAAGGCUGUGUAGAGCUGAUUACUUUUAUGGCUACCAUGGUCAAAAAGUAUCAUGGGAAAAUGCCACUGACACAGCAGAAAAAUUCUAGCUAUUAUUAUUGCUGUAGAGAAGGCCAAAACCCUUUUAAAGGACCACAUUGAAUUCACAAUUAGAGUAAUAAAUGAGGGAACCACAACCCAACCACUCAUCUUCACAUGGGGACCAUACUGGCCUACCUUCUAGAAAUGCUAUAAGGAGGGUUUCUGAAAUUACAUAUAAGUGCUUUGAACACUUCAGAUGUGAAGUGUAAAUGACAGGAAGUUCUAAACAAUUUGGAAGACUGAGAGUGUAGAACCACAUGUGAGAGUUAAUCCAGAUUAAAGGGCAUGGACCUCAUAGGACCAGAAAUCCAGGCAAAGUACUCCUGGUUAGGUUUGGUGCUGUAAGACUUGGGUUCAAAGCACCCAUGAAGCCAAGAAAAGCUGCUGGGAGACCUUUAUGGAAAUCCCAUUCUUUCAGUCUCUGUUCCUCUUCUUUGUGAAACAGCAAUAAAACCUGGCAGAGGCCAUCAACUCACCUCCGUUUGAGGUGAGCUUCUACCUUUCCACAGCAAGCUGAAGCUUCUGAACAGUCAACAAAGGCAGCCCCGCAAGGAAAUUACAGUAGUCUAAGGUGAAUAUGAGAUAACCUUUCCUACCUUCCAGAGUAACAUCCAGGCUGUCUUCCCCCAACCCCCUGGUUUUGUGUUGAAAAGCAACAUUAACCUGGAACACAUGCACAGGAGCACUGAACAUGUACUGGGCAAACCUCAGCAUGCAUCAAGCAUGUUUUUCUACACAGUCAAGAAAGGCAGUAAGAUUUUCUUUCUUUGCGCUCUUUCCCACCAUUGUUACAUCCAGAUUGUAAUUCAGGUUUGCGACUCUGAAUGCAGAAUCUGGGCAGAGGAGGGAGGGGCGACAGCUGUUCUCAAUUAGUUAAUCAGGAAUUUUUAUAAAGCGUGUGAUUCUGUGCCCAGAAUUAUAUGGGUUCUUCUGUAAAUAGAUGUGUGUGCGUGUAUGGAAUUUUUAGCUGAGCAUCGGCAUCCAAUUACUAUGAAUAAUAAUCAUGUUUAUUU